UACAGAGGUCUCAAGCGUUGUUCGGAUUCAUUGGGCGUAAAGGGUGCGUAGGUGGCGCCGUAAGUCAGGUGUGAAAUUUCGGAGCUUAACUCCGAAACUGCAUUUGAUACUGCGGUGCUUGAGGACUGGAGAGGAGACUGGAAUUUACGGUGUAGCAGUGAAAUGCGUAGAGAUCGUAAGGAAGACCAGUGGCGAAGGCGGGUCUCUGGACAGUUCCUGACACUGAGGCACGAAGGCCAGGGGAGCAAGCGGG
rnacentral:rRNA from 1 species